rnacentral:misc_RNA from 1 species
AGCUCUUAAUUGCUUGCACCUGCAUAAACCAAUGCUACCCACGUCUUCCAAGACCUGUUCUUCACCCCUAUCUCUCUUUUUCUCUCUGUCACUCAUGCUUCUCCUCCUCUAUACAUGUCUCUCUGCUCUUGUAGCUAAUGCUGUUACAGAUUUUCAUUAAAAUCUCUAUUUAAUUCCCCAAUUCCUUUCUUUUACAAUGCACACUUUUCUAUUUUUAAUAAUACCCAUCAUUCAAUUUCGCCUCUUUUCCCACUUUCUUUAGGUUUUUUGCAUCUCUCUCAAUCCGCGACCGU